GAUGAACGCUAGCGGCAGGCCUAAUGCAUGCAAGUCGAACGGUGUCUUCGGACAUAGUGGCGCACGGGUGCGUAACACGUAUGCAACCUACCUUACAUUGGGGGAUAGCCUUUCGAAAGGGAGAUUAAUACCGCAUAAGACAGUAGCUGGGCAUCCAGCAGCUGUUAAAGAUUUAUCGAUGUAAGCUGGGCAUGCGUUCAAUUAGCUAGUUGGUGAGGUAACGGCUCACCAAGGCAAUGAUUGGUAGGGGAACUGAGAGGUCAAUCCCCCACACUGGCACUGAGAUACGGGCCAGACUCCUACGGGAGGCAGCAGUAGGGAAUAUUGGGCAAUGGACGCAAGUCUGACCCAGCCAUGCCGCGUGCAGGAUGAAGGCGUUAUGCGUUGUAAACUGCUUUUAUACAGGAAGAAACGACUCUUGCGAGAGGCAUUGACGGUACUGUAUGAAUAAGCACCGGCUAACUCCGUGCCAGCCGCCGCGGUAAAAC
rnacentral:rRNA from 1 species